GGAAUCCUCGAAGGUGGUGAGGCGAGAUCCGUAAACGGCAGGCAUUCUGUGAGGCAGAGAUCGGAUCAAGCUAGAAUUUGGGAGAUUGAAGAUCUGAGGAACUAGGGACCAAAACCCUAAGGUUUCGAUUAGUAGUACCACUCAAUAGAGAUUGCGUUCUGCAACAGAGGAAGAAGAGAAGGAGAGAGUGAAAUGAUGGAUGGAAGAACCGCAGAGCAAUGGCAAUGGCAAUUAUGUAGCAACUUCUUAGAGUUAUGAUUGAUUUGCUAAUCAGACAGGGUACGGAUCCACUACGGACGCGUGUAUCGAAAACUCCACAGUGCACCUUCCUAUGCUACUGAAUCUGCCAAUUGAUAACUGCCACGUCGCGCUCGUUUCUCUUGUUAUUGCUAGCCACUGCCCAAAACUCACGUUUUAACUCUCGUGAGUCAUGAAGAGAUGAAGUUGAAUAAAAAAUUCACAGGAUUGGACUGGUGUCAUUUGAACGUGGGCGGGCCUAAGCCAGCCACCUCAACUACAUGGAAUGGCUAUGAAAAAGGAUAAAUAUUACUGUGAUAUUUUUUUUUUUGGUGACUAAAAAACAUUAAAGAAAAACAACAAAAAAGAAAGCAAUACAACACCAAAAAACCACUACUAAUCAGUAGAUGAAUCCUCGCGCUCUCUUCGCAAUCAAAUCUGCAGCAUUGGAGAUUUGGAGCAACUCAAAGACUUCCAAAGAAUCUGUCUCGCAGAUAAUAUUCUUAGUCCCGCACUCCCAUGCUAAGACCAAACCCCUUCACAUCGCAAAGAGACGGCAAGGAUCCAGAACAAGCCUUCACCCACGUCCCCGCGGAACUCCUGAUGAUGCAUCCAUAACCCGCUUCACCCUCUCAUGGAGGUGGUUUCCAAUCAGUUAAAAAUGGCAUGCAAUACAGUUUCUCUGUUCUCAUAACACCUGGGGCAGAAAUCAGAGUUCGUUAGACCUCUUCUAGCAUGAAAAACAGUCACAGGUAGGGCUUGAUGGACACAAAGCCAGACCAUAAAUUUUAUCUUUUUGAGCGCCAGGACCAAUUCCAAUUAUUAAGCUCAUUUCAAUCAUAAGAACGUCUCAAAAGCAAAAGAUAACCAUCUCUCGCAUUAUAAGUCUUACUAGACUUAGAAUUCCAUCGCCAGCCCGGUUGAGGUCUCAAGUGCAAUCUUGGAUUGAAUUUAUUAAUCAAUUCAAUUAUGUCAGCUGUGAGACAAGUCUGUUUAAAUUUCAGUUUGAGUAAAGCCAGAAAUCCCCAAGAGUUAAAUCUAUAUCAGAUAUGUGAAUGCCAGGAAGAGCAUUGUAUAAUUUGCCAUGAGUGGACCAAUGAUCAUACCAAAAGAAUCCUUUUCAAGUUUGUCAAACACAUCGACCAAAUUUUUCCAAAAGCGUCAGGCAUUUUUUCGGCACAUUAAACUCAAAAACAGAUUGGUUCCUCAAAAUAUUUUUUUUUUAUGUGUACACGUUCCUCAAAAUAUUUACA